UCGGAUGGUCAAGAAAGUGAGUCGAAAACUACUGAACAACAAUGGGAGAAUGCUCAAGCCGUUGAUUAUUGGGGAAGUACUUUUGGUUACCAUGAUCCCGCUUAUGGAUCUAUGCCAAGUGGUGGUGGUUCAUCCUCCGGUGCUCCUACACUUGGUACAGGGACUUCUCAGCCCUCCACUGAUGAUCCUAACAUCCCAAAAGAUGCAGCACAAUAGUUUGCAUCGAUGUUCUUUGGAAUGGCACCAUAUCCUCCUCCUCCUUCUCCUUUUAGUGGCCCAAGUGGA
rnacentral:lncRNA from 1 species